GCGAAUGUCGGAGUAGUCGCU
rnacentral:miRNA from 1 species